AGUUUGACCUCAAAUCAGGUAGGAGUG
rnacentral:rRNA from 1 species